rnacentral:lncRNA from 1 species
UUUUGUGCAAGACAGAGGGACAGGAAAAAUAAUCUUGACCUUCUGUAGAAGUUUAAAUGGAAACUUAAAGAUACCAGGCAUUCCUACAGGACGGAGAGGCUGCUUUUCAAUGAAAGAAUGGCACAGAUCCUUUUGCUAACAACAAGAUUCUCCGUCUUAUUAUCUUCAUGGAAUAUUAAAGCAAUGUAACACGUUGAAACAAUAUUGCAAAGGUUAUGACUGCAAUGUCUUUGACUCUAAUUAUGCCCUGCCUAUCUCUCUUCUGCCAAAGCCUAAAGUUGCUCUCACCUCAGUAGCUCUAGUUCCCAGCCACCAGCCUCCUCCUACCAUCAGUGGAGAUAAAAUCAUGUCAUCUCACAGCACUUAAUUCUGUUCCUAGAGUGUACCUAAUGAGUGUCCUGUUUGACCAGACUCCUCCAUUACCAGUGUUGGUUUCAGGUGAGGUGAAGCCAUUAUGUUCCGUGGUUGUCUCUUUACCUCAACUACAGCUAAUCAGAAGAGGGUCAAACAGACCUUUUAAAAUACCCACACAGAAAUUACUCAGUAAAGUGAAACAUUUUCUAACACUUUCUUGCCUUUUUCUCUCCUAAAACAAUUAUUAUCAUCUCUUAAUUGAGUUGUCACAGAUUCCAAGGUGUGUUGAUUACAGCUUUACGGGUUGUCAUUUGUGCGCUAAUCAUGUCUCAAUGACUUUCUCAGCUGUCUGGACUGAAGACUUUGCCUGUUUAAAAUGUUUUGGAAUCCAUCCACUUUGGCUUUUCUCUGGAUUUUUCAUGGCAUUGAAAAAUGCAGUUGGACAUUUAUCCCACUUAUUGGAGCCCUCAAUUUUAUUUCCAUCUGGAAUCACACACCAAUACUUGUGGGGCAAUUAACUUGGCUGAGGAAACUAUUAUGGAACUGGUCCUUUGAACUUACUGAAUGUCUACUUAAUAGGGCCACGAAGACCAGCAGGAUAUGAAACAACACUUCCAUUGUCAUUCUUCCAAGCCACUACAUUGGAAAUAUUAAUGGAGGUAAGCAUUAAGUGCCAGUAUAUGUGUUAUGUUCCCACUAGUGCUUUAUUCCUUUAAUGUCUUUUGUUUUACUGAUAUUGAUAGCAGUGCUUCCAGGCAAUGGGACUGGGGAUUUUUUUUUUUUAGUGUCUCUAAAUGAAGUAAGACUAGUAUGGAGAUUGCUGGUAAAACAGGCCGCCUGUAAGUGAGUAAAACUGCGAUGCAUGCCUAAUCUCAAGUGCUUUUAUGGCCAUCAACACCAGAGGCUGUG